UUAAUAGUGCAUCUUUUAAUUCAAAUGAACGUCGAAUUAUUUUGUGAAUCAUUUCUAUGCGAUACACCGCAUUAAAAUACAGCGCAUUUUAAGUGUGCUUAUACAUACAAUGGAAAUUCGGUCUGCAUAAAAUGUAUCGCAUAAGAAUGAGACACAAAUUUAAUGUAUCAAAUGGAAAUGGUAUGAAUGAAAAUUACUCUGCAUGCAAAUGCGCAGUUACGUUAGAGAAGGAAAGUAGCCGUAGGUCUUAGGUACGUUUUAUUUGCGGUUGCGCAAAAACAAAACAGCUGUUAUUGAUUGUUACUUACAUCGAACGUGUAAAUGGAUUAAUUAAUACGUUCAUCAAUUUUGAGAAGGCAAGCGAUUUAUUGGGUUAUUUUCUGUCGGUCACACGUGACCUUUACAGUUUUUACGUACAUAUUCGGAUUUGCACCUGCUGCGCAAUAUUGUUUAAUAUAAAGCAAGAAAAAGGCCGAUGGAAAUCGAAAGAUGUGCAAGAGGCGCCGGGUCCCCUUAACAAUAAAUUGGAGGUGUACGCUGUCGCUAUAAAAAUAGUUACAGGUUCGUGGGAAUUAAUAAUGGAUAAAGAGUCCAGAGAUAAACCGUUAAUGGAACGAAGCUCAUGUUCUACGACUCUUGUAAGGAACAAGCACAUCGACAAGUUGAUGCUCCUUCGUAAUGGAAAUUGUGUCGAGUUCAAUCGUGAUAUAUCUACUAACACGAUAAGUUAAAUAUGUAAUCUCCAUUGAAUGAGAGAUUUGUAUAUUUACAAGAUGCUAAUACAUGUACCUGUGUAGAAACACGAGCACGUGAGACAUUGUUAGACACGUAUCUUGUUCUGUUUGAU